AAAUGUUUAUAUAUUAUCUAUUCUGCGUAUGACUAGGAGUAAACCUGUGAAUCGAACUGCCUUCUGCUGCCUU
rfam:Neisseria meningitidis MC58, complete genome.